GAAAUUCUCAAUAUGUUCAUAGCUCUUAUAUUUAAAGAAAACAUAUACUUAUCAUGCUUACUCCAUUCACCCUUUGUCUUUGGCACAUGCUCACCAUCUACUACUUUGAUAGGAAUGAAGGGACUAUUUUCAAUUAUAUCCUAUAAAUCCACUCCUUCUGAUUUAAGGAAGUAGUACAUCAUGUUCUUUCAAUAGAGAAAAUCAUGUCCAUCAAAGAAAGGGAG
rnacentral:misc_RNA from 1 species